CGGCCUCUAGUGUACCGGUUGUCCUGGUGGGCAACGCCGGGCAGCCACGCCGUAAGGGGUUAUCGCUGAAAGCAUCUAAGCGAGAACCCUGACCCGAAAAGAGACGGCCAUCUGCCUUCCAGCGCAAGCUGGAGGACAGCGAGGGCUCCCGUAAAAUACGGGUUUGAUGGGGUGGGGGUGUAAG
rnacentral:rRNA from 1 species